rnacentral:rRNA from 1 species
GUGGGGAAUAUUGGACAAUGGGCGAAAGCCUGAUCCAGCCAUGCCGCGUGUGUGAAGAAGGUCUUCGGAUUGUAAAGCACUUUAAGUUGGGAGGAAGGGCAGUAAGUUAAUACCUUGCUGUUUUGACGUUACCAACAGAAUAAGCACCGGCUAACUUCGUGCCAGCAGCCGCGGUAAUACGAAGGGUGCAAGCGUUAAUCGGAAUUACUGGGCGUAAAGCGCGCGUAGGUGGUUCGUUAAGUUGGAUGUGAAAUCCCCGGGCUCAACCUGGGAACUGCAUCCAAAACUGGCGAGCUAGAGUAGGGCAGAGGGUGGUGGAAUUUCCUGUGUAGCGGUGAAAUGCGUAGAUAUAGGAAGGAACACCAGUGGCGAAGGCGACCACCUGGGCUCAUACUGACACUGAGGUGCGAAAGCGUGGGGAGCAAACAGGAUUAGAAACCCGGGUAGUCC